rnacentral:rRNA from 1 species
GAUGAACGCUGGCGGCGUGCCUAAUACAUGCAAGUCGAGCGAACAGACGAGGAGCUUGCUCCUCUGACGUUAGCGGCGGACGGGUGAGUAACACGUGGAUAACCUACCUAUAAUACUGGUAUAACUUCGGAAAACCGGAUCUAAUACCGUAUAAUAUCUUGAACCGCAGGGUUCAAUGGUGAAAUACGGUUUUUCGGUCACUUAUAGAUGGAUCCGCGCCGCAUUAGCUAGUUGGUAAGGUAACGGAUUACCAAGGCAACGAUGCGUAGCCGACCUGAGAGGGUGGUCAGCCACACUGGAACUGAGACACGCUCCAGACUCCUAGGGGAGGGAGCAGUAGGGAAUCUUCCGCAAUGGGCGAAAGCCUGACGGAGCAACGCCGAGUGAGUGAUGAAGGUCUUCGGAUCGUAAAACUCUGUUAUUAGGGAAGAACAAAUGUGUAAGUAACUAUGCACGUCUUGACGGUACCUAAUCAGAAAGCCACGGCUAACUACGUG